AUAUUUUUGAAUAAUUUAUAACAACCGAGAAGAUUAUAGAAAAGUUUGACAUGACGAAGUAUUUCAAGUAGCUUCGAAGGUACAAACAACAAAUUUGAUAAUGUGGAAAAAGGUGUGCAUCUUAUCUAAUUAACACUCAAUUAUCUUACUCUAAUGUUACUUAUUAAAUAAUGACAGUUUUAUUAUAUGAAGUGUGAGUUAACUAUUUCUUCACUAAAUUUUUUCUUUUGAGAAGAAAAAUACUUUAUUCCAAAAACAAUAGAGUACAAG
rnacentral:lncRNA from 1 species